UGUGAAAAAUCUAGUUGUUUAUUUUGAUCAUGAGGACUUGUACAAUUCAGUCAGUUGGGAUGAUGUUGUUGCAAAUCCAAUGUCUGAAUUACCAAAGGUCAUUAGCCCAUGCAAAGUGCACUAUGCAGAGAAGAAUCCUAAAAAAAAAGUUGCCUGUUUUCUACACAAAUUUGGAGAAGCAAAGAGUGGAUCAAGUUGUCGACAAUGAGCUAGAUGGUUGGAGUGAAGAUGAUGUGCUAUGGGACAGCGAUAAUGAGAUAGAAGAGGGAGAUGCUGAUCUAUUUGAGGACCUCGUAUCGUCUCCGGUGAAUGUGGUUAAAGACAACAAGAAAGCCAAAGGAAGCCAACUGAAGACAUUGGCUAUAUCUAGACUUGUACAAGGAAGUGAUGAAGAGGACACUGAUGCUGAAGAUUUGGACCUUCCAGAAUCAGAUGGGGAAGGUGAUGUGAGACUGAGGUUUACAUCUUUCAGUGAGGAGGAUAUGCAAAACCCAACAUUUUCUGUUGUCUUAGUGUUUCCAACUGUCCAAAAAGUUAGAGAAGCUAUCACUGAGUAUAGUGUCAGGAAUAGGGUUGAAAUUAAGCUUCCAAGGAAUGACAAGACUAGGGUAAGGGCUCAUUGUGCUGAUGGAUGCCCAUGGAACCUAUAUGUUUCUUUGGAUAGUAGGAGCAAUUCCUUUGUGGUUAAGACUUAUUAUGGGGUACACAAUUGCCAAAAGGAAUGGGUUCUCAAGAGAUGUACUGCAAAAUGGUUGGCUGCAAAGUACAUUGAUUCCUAUAGAGCAAAUGAUAAGAUGAGCAUUACUGGUUUUGGAAGGACAGUGCAAAAGGACUGGAACCUUACACCAUCGAGAAGCAAACUUGCUAGAUCUAGAAGAUUGAUCAUGAAGGCUAUUCAUGGGGAUGAGGUGCUGCAGUUUAAUUCUUUGUGGGAUUAUGGAAAUGAAUUGAGGAGGAGUAAUCCUGAGAGCUCUUUCUACCUUAACCUUGAGGGCAACCUAUUUAGUAGUUGUUACAUGUCACUAGAUGCUUGCAAGAGGGGUUUUCUUGCUGGCUGCAGACCCUUAAUUUGUCUUGAUGGAUGCCAUAUUAAAACCAAGUUUGGAGGUCAGCUUCUAACAUCAGUUGGUAUGGACCCUAAUGAUUGUAUUUACCCUAUUGCUUUUGAUGUUGUUGAAGUGGAGUCAUUUGUUACAUGGAAAUGGUUUUUGGAAUCCUUAAAGGCAGACCUACAAAUAGACAACACAUUCCCAUGGACAGUAAUGACAGAUAAGCAGAAGGGUCUAAUCCUAGCAGUGAAGCAAGUAUUUCCUGAGUCAGAACACAGGUUUUGUGUCAGGCAUUUAUAUGCUAACUUCAAUAAGAAGUUCAAAGGGGAAAUCUUGAAAAAACAAUUGUGGGCAUGUGCAAGGUCAUCUUCAGUCCAACAGUGGACCAGAAACAUGGAAAAGAUGAAAGCUUUGAAUGAGGAUGCCUACAAAUGGCUAGAGAAGAUGCCUCCUAACACAUGGGUAAGGGCUUACUUCUCUGAAUUUCCUAAAUAUGAUAUAUUGCUGAACAACAAUUGUGAGGUAUUCAAUAGCUACAUUCUAGAAGCUAGGGACUUGCCAAUACUAAGCAUGCUAGAAAGGAUAAAGUGCCAACUCAUGACAAGGCACUACAAUAAGCAGCAAGAGAUAGGAAAAGAAAUACAAGGUGCUUUCUGUUCCAAAAUUAGGAAAAAGGUUGCAAAAAAUGCAGAAUUUGCAAAUAUGUGCUUUGCUUCACCAUCAGGACAGGGUGUGUUCCAAGUGCAGGUAAAAGAUUAUCAACACAUAGUAGACAUUAAUGCUAGGACAUGUGAUUGUAGAAGGUGGCAGAUAUCAGGAGUGCCUUGUUGCCAUGCUAUCUCAUGCUUGAGAAGUGAGAGGAUCCCACCUGAAAGUGUCCUUGCUAAUUGUUAUUCUGUGGAAUCUUUUAAAAAUGCAUAUGGAUUCAACAUUUGGCCUUGCAAAGACAAAACUGAGUGGGAAAGGUAAAUGGGCCUGAAGUACUACCACCAGUUUAUGAGAAAAAAGUAGGAAGGCCACCAAAGUCUAGGAGGAAACAACCACAUGAAGUUCAAGGAAAGAAUGGGCCACGAUUGACUAGGCAUGGUGUGGUCAUACAUUGCAAAUAUUGUGGCGAUGCUAACCAUAAUUCUGCUGGUUGCAAAUUUAAGAGGAUGGGCUUUAGUUCAGAGGAAGCAAAAGAAUUAGUGGCCACUACACGUGCUACAUUAGCACGCGAAGCUGAACAACAAGCUACAGAGGCAACAAGAAACCAGCAAGCCCAAAUGAGUCAAGAAGGUCAGCACUACCCUACUGAGUCACAUGCUAUCAAUCAGGAGUUGAGGCAAGAAGGUCAGGCUGAGUCCAUGACACAAGCUAGCACAACCCUAUUGAGUCAGAUGCUACAGGAGGGGUCUCAGUCUACAUCAUUAUCUCAGCCUCAGGGGCCAUUGCCAGAUAGUGCCUUCAUUAGCUCCAAUCAACCUGUAGCAAGACUUGGACCACUGACUGCAUGCACGAAGGCAGGAAAGGUAGCUGCAAGUAGGAAGAGAAAGGCUGCAGGAACAACCUCCAAGGAUGGAGAUCAAGG